GUAACUGAUGUGUUGCUCUUUUCUUGGCUAUCCUAGUGAAGAUGGGGGUGCUUGGUGAAAGCAGUUUGCCAGCAGCACCAGAACCACUCUGCUCCCUUGCCCUGCCUAGGGCACUUUGCUCUCCAGCAGCUACAGGACCAGAGGUAUAGAGAAUGCAUAGCUGCUACAUGAAGAUCGCUGGAGGACUGACAGCUCUCUUGUUCUCACUGCUGAAGAAAUGAGAGGAGAAGGCACAAGUCUCUGUCUUUACAGAAGCAAUGCCACAGACUGCUAAAGCACUCAUUUACAGCAUUGUGGGGUUCUCUGGAAUAUGUUUUCCAUGAACCAGAGAGGUAUGGAGAGAUAAUAAAGGAAAAAAGACAAUAUGAGUCUCCUUGAUCUUGCUUCUGCCACUGUCAGAAAAUCCCCCUGCCAACUUCAAACAUGACAGAAAAAGAGUGCAGAAAUGCAAGUGAGAGGAGGCAGUUUACUUAUUGAAAUAAACAGAGUAGGGAAAGCAGGAAAACAUUAAAAAGCAUAGAAUGAACUAGAGAAUUCUUAGUUUAAGAUUUCUUAAUGGAAAAGACGUGUAAUUUUUGUCACUAUUUCUGUAAGGUUUUCUGGAUUCUGUGAGGGAAGUACUGUUAUUCAGUUAAACAAGUAAAACUGGGUUUUCAUGCAUAUGGUCUUUGAAUUAUUAUUAUAGCAGACCUGAUGUGUGUAAGGAUUAGAGAAUGAAACUAAAAAAGAGCCCAAUCUUAAACACUAAUUUACUUAGUUACUAACAAGGAUUCUUCUUAAAAUACUGAAUUUACAAAGCAACUGGUGACUUCUGUGUAACCAACUUCAUAACCUUUCUGAAACCAUUGAGCACCCAUAGUGAAAAUCAGGCCCACUGGGGGCCUGAACAUUGUUUUACACAAAAUGAUUAUUUAUCCCUGUAAUUUUAAGACUGUUUUCAUCCCACAGUCACAGCAUGCUGAGUGUAUUAACUUGCUUCUGAAUCUGUGCUUGAUGGGAGGGGUCAUAUCUUGACCUUCCUUUGAAUGGCUGAACCACCAGUCCUGAUAGAGUAGUAACUAAAAAAACACAAAAAUUAAUUUAGAUGCUGUUUUCAGAGAUCUGAAUCUCCAGUCUUAUCACUUCUUCCCUGAAGAAGGCAACAUUUGGUGGCUUACGAUUUUAAAACUUAGUCUGUUUUCAAUGAGCCCGUUCUCAGAUCAUAAGAGGCUUACAGAUUUCUGGGAAUCACUUCUUCAGUAUUUUGCGUGUGUCAUUCCUGCUUCAUUGUUCUUUCAGUGUAAAGUUACAGCUAGAGAGGGAAGGAGGCAGUUGCACUCUACUUGUAAAAAAUGAUGACACUUUAAAGGGCACAAAACUUUUUUUUU